UCUACCAUUACUUAACAGCCUCUCCUUCUGGAGAAAAACAGCUGUGGAGAGUAAGCAAAUUUAGCAGUUCAGUCCUUCAAACAAAAUAAAGCAGAUUUCUUCAUGCAGAGGAAGGCUUUUGACAGCACCAUUUAUAAUAAUAGGAGAAGAGCUAAACAAAUAGGAUAAACCUCCACAGAGAGUUCAGCAGGUCCUUGUAACAUUGCUGGUCUGGUGGGCUGAAGUCUGAGAGGAGUGGCAUGUGAGUAACAUAUAAGCCCUAAGAAGUUGGACAUGACCAGGGGUCAGAAGCAUACACAGAAAAGCUGUUACCAGCUGUAUUACUGACUUGUGUAGCCUACCAUGUCAGGAGUGACUUAAAGGCCUUUGCAUUUAUGACGUAUCUUCUUAAAUGGACCAGACCAUCUCCUGUUCAAGGCAGCAUCUGACUGACAUCUCUGUUGGCCAUCUGAAAGACAGCUGCCAGCCAGCAUCAUCAUCCCAAGGGAGCAUCUCUUCUCUGCUGCAGGGAGCGAUAGUAACCCUGAGAGGACUGAGAGCAGCAUCUGUGCCUCUUUCUGUGUUCUUUAGUAUGUUUCAUGACUUAAAAUUGAUCACUACACAUGAGGAUUGGUAUUUUAGUUGAGUUCUUACACAUUUCGCUCAGCAAUGAAGCAUUAAAAUAACCCUGAAUUAAGAUCUUUGCCUUAGUCUAUUACACUGAUGGAGCCUGAGUAAUUUCCAAUUACUCUGGUUUAAUGGCACCUUCAUGAAUGAGUGACAGUAUAGUGGUGUAAAUAAAGUGUUUUAAAGGAAAGAAGCACAUGCUGAUGAAUCCCUGAAAAUCAAUUACAAGACAGUAACAAUUUUUGAUACUGCA